rnacentral:rRNA from 1 species
AUGCCUGCCUUCCACGCAUACGGAGAUGGCGGGUGCCUCGUCUCUGCCCCGGCCGAGCUUUCCAGGAUGUUCUGCCGCGGUGGCGGAGCGGUGGUUCAGCAGCGGAAGCGCUCUCUGGUGGCCGCGUCGGCGGUCGCCGCCGCGGCGGCCGAGUGCAUGAGGGCCAGCAAGAAGCAGAGGCAGCCCCCGCAGCCGUCCCUGGACGUGCUCCCGGACGAGUGCCUCUUCGAGGUCCUGCGCCGCCUGCCCGGCGGCCGCGAGCGCGCUGACUCCGCCUGCGUCUCCCGCCGCUGGCUGGCGCUCCUCGCCAGCAUUCGGAUCUCCGAGCUCGGUCAUGCCGCGGCGGCCGCCCCGUCCCUGCCCGAUCUCAACGAGGAGUUCGUCAUGGAGGAGGAUACGGACGACUCCCCCGCAGAUCCCUGCGUCGAGAGGGUCCUCGAGGGCAACGAGGCCACCGAUGUCCGCCUCGCCGCCAUGGCUGUUGUCGCUGGAUCCCGCCGCGGGCUGGAGAAGCUCGCCAUCCGUGGGAGCCACCCGUCGCGCGGGGUCACGGACCAGGGGCUCCUGGCCGUCGCCUGCGGCAGUCCUAACCUCUGCUCGCUCUCGCUGUGGGAUGUGCCGCUUGUGACCGACGCUGGGCUCGCUGAGAUCGCCGCCGGGUGCCCCUCGCUGGAGCGUCUGGAUAUCACUUCUUGCCCGCUCAUCACAGACAAGGGCCUUGCUGCUAUUGCUCAGGGGUGCCCCAACUUGGUGUCUCUGACCAUCGAGGCCUGCUCCGGCGUUGGCAACGAGGGCCUGAGGGCGAUUGGCCGGUGCUGCUUGAAGCUGCAGGCUGUGAGCAUCAAGAACUGUGUGCACGUUGGCGACCAGGGCAUUUCUAGCCUCGUGUGCUCCGCUUCCGCGUCAUUGGCCAAGAUCCGUCUCCAGGGAUUGAACAUCACAGAUGCUUCGCUUGCCGUGAUUGGGUACUAUGGGAAGGCCGUCACAGAUCUUACACUUGCUCGCCUUGCUGCUGUUGGUGAGAGGGGGUUUUGGGUGAUGGCCAAUGCCGCCGGCUUGCAGAAGUUGAGGUGCAUGAGUGUCACCUCUUGCCUUGGGGUCACUGAUCUUGCUAUCACUUGUAUUGCCAAGUUCUGCCCAGGCUUGAAACAGCUUUGCCUCAGGAAGUGUGGACAUGUGUCGGAUGCUGGUCUUAAGGCUUUCACAGAAUCAGCAAAGGUGAUGGAAAACCUGCAGCUUGAAGAGUGCAACAGGGUUACUCUUGUUGGUGUUCUGGCCUGCCUUAUCAACUGCAGCCAGAAGUUCAGGGCUCUCUCCUUGGUGAAAUGCACAGGUGUCAAGGAUGUCUGUUCUGCUCCUGCACAACUUCCUGUCUGCAAAUCACUUCGUUUCUUGACAAUCAAGGAUUGCCCAGGUUUCACUGAUGCAAGCUUGGCCGUAGUCGGUAUGAUCUGCCCUCAGCUGGAGCAAGUCGACCUGAGUGGUCUUGGUGAGGUCACUGACAAUGGGCUUCUUCUGUUGAUAAAAUCUUCCGAGGGUAGCCUGGUCAAGGUUGACUUGAGUGGUUGCAAGAACAUCACAGAUGUUGCUGUUUCUUCCCUGGUGAAGGCACAUGGAAAAUCUGUUAAGCAAGUUAGUCUCGAGGGUUGCAGCAAGAUAACAGAUGCAAGCCUCUUCUGUAUUUCUGAGAACUGCACUGAGCUUGCAGAGCUUGAUCUUUCUAACUGCAUGGUCAGCGACUCCGGUGUUGCAAGCCUGGCGUCCGCAAAGCACUUCAAGCUCCGUGUCCUCUCGCUGUUUGGCUGCUCUAAGGUCACACAGGUGGGCGUGCAGUUCUUGGGCAGCAUGGGUAAGUUGGAGGGCCUCAAUCUUCAGUACUGCAACAUGAUUGGCAACCACAACAUUGCAUCGCUGGAGAAGCAGCUCUGGUGGUGCGACAUUCUCGCCUAG